UACGGGGGGGGCAAGCGUUGCUCGGAAUUACUGGGCGUAAAGGGCUCGUAGGUGGCCAACUAAGUCAGACGUGAAAUCCCUCGGCUUAACCGGGGAACUGCGUCUGAUACUGGAUGGCUUGAGGUUGGGAGAGGGAUGCGGAAUUCCAGGUGUAGCGGUGAAAUGCGUAGAUAUCUGGAGGAACACCGGUGGCGAAGGCGGCAUCCUGGACCAAUUCUGACGCUGAGGAGCGAAAGCCAGGGGAGCAAACGGG
rnacentral:rRNA from 1 species